UAUGACGGGUAUCCGGCCUGAGAGGGUGAUCGGACACACUGGUACUGAGACACGGUCCAGACUCCUACGGGAGGCAGCAGUAGGGAAUAUUGCUCAAUGGGCGAAAGCCUGAAGCAGCAACGCCGCGUGGAGGAUGAAGGUCUUCGGAUUGUAAACUCCUUUUCUAAGAGAAGAUUAUGACGGUAUCUUAGGAAUAAGCACCGGCUAACUCCGUGCCAGCAGCCGCGGUAAUACGGAGGGUGCAAGCGUUACUCGGAAUCACUGGGCGUAAAGAGCACGUAGGCGGCCUUGCAAGUCAGAUGUGAAAUCCAACGGCUUAACCGUCGAACUGCAUUUGAAACUGCAAGGCUAAAGUAUGGGAGAGGUAGGUGGAAU
rnacentral:rRNA from 1 species